CUGAAGGGCAGAAAGGCCCGUGCUGCUGGCGUCCAGGCAGCAAAUCAAGCAGAGGUUAGCAGGAACGUCUACCUAGGAAUGUGCCAGUGUUUGGAGACUGGGCUCUCCGUUCCACCUCGGGUUCCUACACUUCUCCACUCUAAAGUUUCUGUUGCUUAAAACCAAGUCUCAAGUAAUGAAGAGGAAUAAUCUUAGAAUCUAUGAGUUGGGACAUGGAUGGAUGAAACUUAAAGGACCACAACAGAUAUUGAAGAAUUUCAUCCUGCUGACUGCUCUUCUCUCAGAUACAGA
rnacentral:lncRNA from 1 species